rnacentral:tRNA from 1 species
UUUUAUAUAAUAUAAAAAGUAUGUAUAACUUCCAAUUAUAAAGUUUAAUUAAAAUUAAUAUAAAAA